CUACCUCUUCUGUGCCUGGAAGUUUUGCUAUGUUCCUUGGGGAAAGGAGGCAGUUUACUCUUGCAGAGAUAUAAGGGUAUUAUGCACAACUGAGCUGUUUUAGCAUUUUUCAGGGUGAAAAACGGGAAACUUCUUGAGGCCUGGACUGUCAGACUGUGGAGAAAACCAUCAAUGCUUGGAGAAUUCCUUCUACAUCAAGACCUAAAUCUUUCUGCCUUCUUUGGAUGCUUCACUUAAAUGACUCUAAUCUAGUUCUGUCAGUCAAGUAGAUUGUCCACGAUCAUCUCUGGAAAAAGUCUGGAAAAAGCAUUCUCUGACAAAAAAGAAAAGAGCUGUCCUAUGAUAAAAUGUAUCUUGUCACCCACUGCAGCCUUCAGAAAUGUGCCCUGGCCACUAGUGUUGUAAGACAUUGAGGGAUGACAGUUACACUGCUACAUCCUGUCGCUUG